CGAGCACACGCACGUACAACGUAACUGUUCAGCUUCAGUCACCUAGACCACGUGCAAUUCUCGAAGCACAUUGUACUUGUAAGGGAGGUGUGGCUGGCCGUUGUAAACAUGUAGCCGCCGUUGUUACUGCCAUAAACAACCCCGAAGACGACUCCUGCACUAGUGUGCCCCAAGCGUGGGGCAGGCCUGGAAGUCAAGCGUCAGGCAGCUACGUCCGGCUUCCUUUCGAAGAGCUUUAUCCAAGUGGUUCCAGGAAAGGGCAUUACGUCUAACAAGCACAGAGUGCCACAGAGUCAGAAC